UACGUAGGGUGCGAGCGUUGUCCGGAAUUACUGGGCGUAAAGAGCUCGUAGGUGGUUUGUCGCGUUGUUCGUGAAAACUCACAACUCAAUUGUGGGCGUGCGGGCGAUACGGGCAGACUGGAGUACUGCAGGGGAGACUGGAAUUCCCGGUGUAGCGGUGAAAUGCGCAGAUAUCGGGAGGAACACCGGUGGCGAAGGCGGUUCUCUGGGCCUGUACUGACGCUGAGGAGCGAAAGCGUGGGGAGCGAACAGG
rnacentral:rRNA from 1 species